AGCCUCAGUGGAGGCGUUAUUGGUUCUUUGUGUUUCAUUUAGUUGAGAAAGUAUGUAAGGACAUAUAUUGCAUUCUAACAGAGUCAAUAAUACU